GGCAGUGUGGCAUAGUGGUAAUGAGUAGCACUAGUAACUGAAAGGUUGCCGGUUCGAUUCCCCACUGGGGCACUGCCG